rnacentral:rRNA from 1 species
CGUGCUUGCACUGAUUUCAACAAUGAAGCGAGUGGCGAACUGGUGAGUAACACGUGGGAAAUCUGCCCAGAAGCAGGGGAUAACACUUGGAAACAGGUGCUAAUACCGUAUAACAACAAAAUCCGCAUGGAUUUUGUUUGAAAGGUGGCUUCGGCUAUCACUUCUGGAUGAUCCCGCGGCGUAUUAGUUAGUUGGUGAGGUAAAGGCCCACCAAGACGAUGAUACGUAGCCGACCUGAGAGGGUAAUCGGCCACAUUGGGACUGAGACACGGCCCAAACUCCUACGGGAGGCAGCAGUAGGGAAUCUUCCACAAUGGACGAAAGUCUGAUGGAGCAAUGCCGCGUGAGUGAAGAAGGGUUUCGGCUCGUAAAACUCUGUUGUUAAAGAAGAACACCUUUGAGAGUAACUGUUCAAGGGUUGACGGUAUUUAACCAGAAAGCCACGGCUAACUACGUGCCAGCAGCCGCGGUAAUACGUAGGUGGCAAGCGUUGUCCGGAUUUAUUGGGCGUAAAGCGAGCGCAGGCGGUUUUUUAAGUCUGAUGUGAAAGCCUUCGGCUUAACCGGAGAAGUGCAUCGGAAACUGGGAGACUUGAGUGCAGAAGAGGACAGUGGAACUCCAUGUGUAGCGGUGGAAUGCGUAGAUAUAUGGAAGAACACCAGUGGCGAAGGCGGCUGUCUAGUCUGUAACUGACGCUAAGGCUCGAAAGCAUGGGGUAGCGAACAGGAUUAGAUACCCUGGGUAGUCCAUGCCCGUAACCGAUGAUUGCUAAGUGUUGGGAAGGGUUUCCGCCCCUUCAGUUGCUGCCACCUUACCCCAUUAAACCACUCCCGCCUGGGGGAAGUACCGACCCGCAAGGGUUGAAAACUCCAAAAGGAAUUUGACGGGGGGGCCCCG